GAUGAAGAACCAGCGAAAUGCGAUAAGUAAUGUGAAUUGCAGAAUUCAGUGAAUCAUCGAAUCUUUGAACGCACAUUGCGCCCCCUGGUAUUCCGGGGGGCAUGCCUGUUCGAGCGUCAUUUCAACCCUCAAGCUCUGCUUGGUAUUGAGUCCAUGUCAGCAAUGGCAGGCUCCAAAAUCAGUGGCGGCGCCGCUGGGUCCUGAACGUAGUAAUAUCUCUCGUUACAGGUGCUCGGCGUGCUUCUGCCAAAACCCCAAUUUUUCUAUGGUUGACCUCGGAUCAGGUAGGGAUACCCGCUGAACUUAAGCAUAUCAAUAAGCGGAGGA
rnacentral:misc_RNA from 1 species